AUCCACCUCGGCUCCUGGUUGCAGCAACUGCUGUGGCAGUAUGUGGAGCGAGCACCUCUGGCUCCCAACUUCUCCUGACUGAGCUGGCCACUCGCUUCCUUCUCCUCUGUGCCUCAGGCGCUUGCUGAGACUUCUCUGUUGGACUCUAGUGCUCUCUCCUGGAUGUUCUAUUCGAGGUGUGCUUAUCUCUUCAUAAUUUUGGGUCUUCUUUCUGGAGAGGCUCUGCCGCACUAAGCUCUCUACAUGGCCGAGGCACCAGACCAGAAUGCGCCCUUUCGACAGGCAGAGAGAGCCAAAGGGGAAAAGAGCUGAGUCAAGGCUGCCAAGUUCCUGCUUCCAGCCCUACCAGCCGGUCACUCGCGCCUUGCAAUGAGGAAACCAGGAGUCCUAUCUAGAGCCUUUCCAUAGUUGUGGGAAAGAAGAUGGGUAAAGUUAUUGUUAAUCUACAGAGGAAGGAAUGAUGCCAAGUUUUUCAAGGCUUCCAGAGUCACAGGAGGAGUCACUUGGUAAAUCCAGGAGCAGAAACCAGGUUAAGUGACUAGCCUAAGGUAAGAGCCAGAUUUGGAGCUUGGAAUCUGAUAGCCCUUAGGGUGCUUUAUUCCCUGAGCCAAUCCACACUUCUACCUCAGUAAAGGAAUCAACUGAGGGCUCAGCUUUUCCUCUGCAAGAAACCUGCUCUCUGGGACAUUUUCCUUCUGACAGACCACUCUGCUGCAGGUCUGCUGGAGUUUGCUGGAGGUCCACUCCAGGCCCCUGUUGCCUGGGUAUCUCCAGUAGAGGCUACAGAACAGUAAAGAUUGCUGCCUGUUCCUUCCUCUGGAAGCUUUGUCCCAGAGGGGCACCCGCCAGAUGCCAGCUGGAGCUCUCCUGUAUGAAGUGUCUGUCCACCCCGGCUGGGAGGUGUCUCUCAGUCAGGAGACAUGGGGGUCAGGGACCCAUUUGAGGAGGCAGUCUGACCCUUAGCAGAGCUUGAACGCUGUGCUGGAAGAUCCACUGCUUUCUUCAGAGCCAUCAGAGAUGCCCUGCCCAGAGAGGAGAAAUCUGGAGACGCAGUCUGGCUGCAGUGGCUUUGCGGAGCUGCGGUGGGCGUCUCCAAGUUCGAACUUGCUGGCAGCUUUGUUUACACCGUGAGGGUAAAACCGCCUACUCACACCUCAGUAAUGGCAGAUGCCCCUCCCCUCACCAAGCUCGAGUGUCCCAGGUCAACUUCAGACUGCUGUGCUGGCACUGAGAAUUUCAAGCCAGUGGAUGUUAGCUUGCUGGACUCUGUGGGGGUGGGAUCGGCUGAGCAAGACAACUUGGCUCCCUGGCUUCAGCCCUCUUUCCAGGGGAGUGAACAGUUCUGUCUCACUGGCGUUCCAGGAGCUGCUGGGGUAUGGAAAAAAAAAAAAAAAAAAAAAAAAAAACUCCUGCAGCCAGCUCAGUGUCUGCCUAAAUGGCUGCCCGGUUUUGUGCUUGAAACCUAGGUCCCUUGUGGUGUAGGCACUGGAGGGAAUCUCCUGGUCUGCGGGUUGGAAAGACUAUGGAAAAGCAUAGUAUCUGGGUCAAAGUGCACCCUUCCUCAUGGCACAGUCCCUCUGGGCUUCCCUUGGCUAGGGGAGGGAGUUCCCCGACCCCGUGCGCUUCCUGGGUGAGGCGACGCCCCACCCUGCUUUGGCUCGCCCUCCGUGGGCUGCACCCACUGUCUCACCAGUCCCAAUGAGAUUAACUGGGUACCUCAGUUGGAAAUGCAGAAAUCACUUACCUUUUGCAUUAAUCUCCCUGGGAGCUGUAGACUGGAGCUGCUCCUAUUCGGCCAUUUUGCCUGCAAUCCAGGAUUUAUAUUUUUAGAGAGUCAGUCCAUGAUAGAUUACCUUGUAGUUUUGUGGAGAGGAUGUUAUCAUCGUUCCUGAUUUAGGGGAAAAUGCUAAGAAAAUAAGUGAUUUUCAAAACCUUGCCAUGAUUCCAUCAGUAAUGGAGUUUGCACUGGUACUGGGAACCUCCAGGUAUUGACUUGAGACCACAUGCUUAUAUGGUGUCAGUUCUCUUCAACGGAAGUGUUUUUAAGCUUUCCAAAAUUUCCAUAAAAACAAAAAUGGAUGGUAGUCUUUUUUCUUUUUGAAGAAAAUUUUAGCUAUCUUUACAUAAUAGCUGCUUAAGAACUGAAAAAUAAAGCAAGGUUAAAAUCUGAAGCAAGAGUACUUGUCUCAGGUUCUGUUAUAUAAAUUAAGUGAAAAAAAAAAUAGCCAUGGUAGGUGGUACACACCUACAUAGAAGGCUGAGGCAGGAGGAUUACUUGAGCCUAGGGGUCUGAAGCCAGCUGGGGCAAUAUAGCAAGAGUCCAUCUCUAAAAACAAUAACAAACUUUAAAAAUUUUGAAAAGAAUAAAAUAAGCAUAAAUGGGGAGAAAUUAAUUAAAAGGAGACACUAAAAAAUAUGUCACUGCUCCCACAUCUUCUCUGCACUCCCCCAAGGUACAAUAUUUUUUACCUCUUCUCACCUUUAUUUCCUAUGGAAUCCAGCCUUAACAAUGGAAAUUGGAAAAAGCAACUAGACACCAUGGAGGAAAAAAAAAGAACAAAGAAAUACAUUAAGGAACUAAAGAAAGGAAGGAGAGAGGGAGGGAGGAAGAAAGGAAGGGAGGAAAAAAGAAAAAUAUAAAAGAAAAUCUGAAUGUAGAAUAUAAGUGGACUAACUUCCAGAGGUCAGGACCACAUGGGCUGAAAACAUGUUUAGAACCCGAUUUUACAGGAAUUCUGCACGUAUCUAGAAGGGCUUUUGCCAGAAAACCGUUAAGCUUAACUAACAUUCUAUUGUGAAUGUUUUGUGAUAUAAGGUCAUUUUAGUCCUAUAUUCAAGGUCAAGAAAUGUUUCUUUUUAAAAUAGAACGGCACGAAUCCUCCUUUGUCAAGCUCAUUAACAGAAAAUGAUAUCUUUAUACUUUGUCAGUGGAUUUCCAAUCAAUUAUCAUCUAAUGCAAAAAUAAUCCCAGGAGUGUUCGCUUCCUGGAUGUUCUGACUAAUUUAAACUAUGGUUAAUUGAAGACUGAAAUAUUCGGGAAACUAUGACAGGAACAAUUUGCUACGGACAGUUUCCACCUGUACUCUCAAGACUUAGAAGCCAUAUGGAUAGAAUGAAAUAGGAUCCCAUCAUUCUCGGCCCAUCUCGCCCAUCUCAAGUCAUUUUUGCCCUCUCCCCACGUGCAGUCAGAAGACUGGAAGUGGAGGUGUGAGCAGUAGAUAGAGCAGUUUAUAAGACAAUGUUAAGACCAUGAUGAAAAGACAUUAGAGGAAGCAGGAAAAAAGAAUAUGCGACACUUAGAACAGGAAUUGGUGGUGUCUUGGAAUAUCUGCUUCAGGACGAUAAUGAAACUAAUGAUUUAGGGCAGUAGAAGAAGCCGUGGGAGGAACUUUCACAUUUGGCGAGCAGGAGAAUACAGUCAAAUUUGGAAAGGACAGACAUAGUUGCAUAUUUCCAUUGGCAUUCUCUCCUCUUCAUUUCUGUCCAAGAAUGCUGUCAGCAGAAUCCCACCAUAGUCUCUGCAGGUGCAACUCCAUGCAGCACCAGGUAUCUCUGUUCUCUUUGUUUUAUGAUCAGGGAGAAAGGAUGAGAACUCACCAGAGAGCGUAUAUUAUUACAACAGAUUUUAAUAUCAGUUUAUUUCAGUUCUGCAAAUGCCUUCUUCUUAAAUAUUCUACUCUUCCACUCUCCCUCACCCAUAACUCCUUAAGGUCCCACUCUCACAAACUUUUCAUAUAGAACUAUAGUUGAAUUUACAAAUGUGGUGGCAGAAAGGGGCUUGACCAAUAGAUUUAGGGCAUCCAUCAUCUGCAAGACUAGUACCUAGCAUAUUAGGAGGUGCUCAAAAAACAUUUGUUGAAUGAAUAAACCUUACGUGUAAGAUACAUGAAAAUUGCCCCAGAGGAGCCAGACAUUGAACUUCUGGGUUUUGGUAGCUAAUGUUAUUCUGAAGCUCAUGUUUCAAAUAGGGACUUGCAGCCUCCAUUUUUUUUGGUGGGGGGACAGGAUUUCAUUAAGUCGCCCAGGCUGGAGUGCAGUGGCACAAUCACACCUCACUGCAGCCUCAGCCUCCCAGGGCUCAACUGAUUCUCCAACCUCAGCCUCCUGAGUAGCUGGACUAUAGGCACACUGCCACCACACCUAGCUAAUUUUUGUAUAUUUUGUAGAGACAGCGUUUUGCUGUGUUACACAGGCUGGUCUCCAACUCCUGGGCUCAAGCUAUUCACCCACCUCAGCUUCCCAAAGUGCUAGGAUUACAGGCCAAAUUUCUUAGAGUAGCUUUGUGGGCAGCGCACAACUUAUUAGAGUAGGAACAUCAUUUUUGGUAGUAAAUACCAGCUAUUAGUAUAGCCUAACGCAAAGCUUCUCAGAAACCUAAGGAACAGACGUAACUGAUGUUCUUUUAAUCAGUCUACCAUCUAAGUGUUUGCCAGCUAGAGCAUUAUUUUUAGGCUUGGGCAUGUUACACAUAUUUCUUGGCAAAGACAAUUUAUUUACAUUUUGUCUUCUUACCAUUAUGCAUUGUGGUUUGCAAGGCAGUAAAUUUAAGUGAGAAAUGAAUAAAAUAAUAAAUACAAGUUUAAACAUCCUCAACAAAAUACAACAAACCAAAUUCAACAGCACAUUAAAAGGCUCAUAUACCAUGACAAAGUGGGUUUGAUCCCUGGGAUGCAAGAAUGGUUCAACAUAUGACACCAAUUAAUGUGAUACACCACAUUAACAGAAUGAAGGAUUAAAAUCAUUAUCAACUCAAUGAAUGCAGAGAAAAGCAUUUGAUAAAAUUCAAAGCCAUUUCAUGUUAAAAACUCAACAAACUAGGAAUCAAACUAUCCUUAUACUCAAUGGCAAAAAAAGCUUUUCUCCUGAGAUUAGGAGCAAGGCAAAGAUGCCCACUCUCACCACUGUAUUCAUAAUAUUAGAAGUUCUGGUCAGAGCAAUUAGAUUAAAAAAAGAAAGAAAAGACGCCCAAGGUCGAAAAGGAAGAGGUAAAAUUUUACCUAUUUGUAGAUGACAUGAUCUUAUAUAUAGAAAACCCUAAAGACUUCACCAAAAAAAAAAAAAACUGUUAAAAUUAGUGAAUGAAUUCAAUAAAGUAGUAGGAUACAAAAUCAACAGACAAAAAUUAGUUACAUUUCUGUAUGCUAGCAACAAACUAUCUGAAAAGGAAAUUAGGAAAACAGUCCCAUUUAUAAUAACAUCAAACAGAAUAAAACACUUAAGAAUAAAGUUGACUAAGGUAGUGAUAGACUUAUACACUGAAAACUGUAAAACAUUGAUGAAAGAAAUUAAAGACAUAAACAAAUGGAAAGACAUUCUGUGCUCAGGCAAUGGAAGACUUAACAUAGUUAAAAAUGUCCAUACUACCUAAAGUGAUCUAUAAAUUGAAAGCAAUCCUUAUCAAAAUCCCAAUGACAUUUUUUUAUGGAAAUAGAAAAAACGAUUCUAAAAUUCAUAUGGAACCACAAAGGACUCUGAAUAGCCAAAACAAUCUUAAGAAGGAAAAUCAAAGCUGAAUUCCUGAUUUCCAAAUAUAUUACAAAGCAAUAAUAAUUAAAACAGUGUGGAACUGGCAUACAGACAGACAUAUAAACCAAUGGAACCAAAUAAAAGCCCAGAAAUAAAUCCAUGCUUAUACAGUCAAUUGAUCUUUGACAAGGGCCCCAACAAUACGCAAUGGGGGAAGGAUGGUCCGUUUAACAAAUGGUGUUUGGAAAACCAGAUAUCCACAUGCAAAAGAAUGAAAUUGAACCCUUAUAUUACACUGUACACAAGCUCAAAAACUCAAAUAUAAGACGUGAAAGUGUAAAACUAGAAGAAAACAUAGUGGGAAAGUUGCAUGCCCUUGGUCUUGGCAAUGACUUCAUGAAUAUCACACCAAAAGCACAGACGAAAAAUGCAAAAAUAGACAAGUAGGACUAUAUGAAAUUAAAACUCUUCUUCACAGCAAAGGAAACAAUCCACAGAAUAAAAAGGCAACCUAUAGAAUGACAGAAAAUAUUCACAAAUCAUAUUUCAGAUAACGGGUUAAUUUCUAAAACACAUAAGGAACUCUUUAUAACUCAACAGCAAACUCUAACUCGUUAGCAAAACAAAAACAAAACACACCCACAAAACAAACAAACAAACAAAAAACAAAAAACAACCUGCUUUAAAAAUGGGCGAAGGACUUCAAGAGACAUUGUUCCAAAAAAGUUAUUCAAAUGGCCAAAGUUAUAUGAAAAUAUGCUCAAUGCCACUUAUGCAAAUCAAAUGACAAUGAGAUAUCACUUCAUACAUGUUAGAAUGGCUCUUAUCAAGAGACAGAAGUGUUGGCAAGGAUACAGAGAAACUGGAACCCUUGUACACUUGGUGAGAACGCAAAAUGGUGCUGUCAGUAUGGGAAACAGUAUGGAGGUUCCUCAAAAAUUUAAAUAUAGAACUGCCAUAUGAUCCAGCAAUCCCAUUCUGGGUAUUUAUCCAAAAGAAUUGAAAUCAGGAUCUUGAAGCGAUAUUAACAUUUCCAUGUUCGUUACAGCACUAUUCACAAAUAGCCAAGAGGUGAAAACAAUCUAAACGUCCUUUGAUGGAUGAAUGGAUAAAGAAAAUGUUAUGUACAUACAGUGGAAUAUUAUUCAGCCAUAAACAAGGGAAAUCCUAUGAUAUGCUAUAAUAGCACAUGGCUGAACCUGAGGACAUUAUUUUAUGCUAAGCGAAAUAAGACAGAAGGAGAAAUAUUGUGUGCUUCAGUUUAUAUGAGGUAUCUAAAAUAGUCAAACUCAUAGAAACAGAGCAGAAUGGUGGUUGCCAGGGGGAGUGGGGAGAAGGAAAUGGGAAAUUGCUAAUCAAUGGGUAUGAAGUUUCAGUAAUGCAAGAUAAGUUCUAGAGAUCUGCUGUACAACAUUGUGCCUAUAGUGUUGCAUUGCACACUUAAACAUAUGUUAAGAGGGUAAAUCUCAUGUUAAGUGUUUGUACGAUGAAACUUCUUAAAAAUUAAAUUUUAAAAAGCAGCAAAAUAAAUGAACUGUAUAUAGAUGAAAAAUAUUCUAGUUCUCAAACUCCUGGGUAAAAUGUUAAAAUGCUGUGUCCAGGGCCUUACCUCUUCAGAUUCUGACUCAAUCUGGGGUGGAGCCCUGGAGUCUGCAUUUUAACAAAUCCAAGCAUCUGCUGCAGAAGCAUGUUAAGAAGCACUGAUGUGCGUGAAAGGGCCUUGUAAAAAAUAUGCAAAAGAAAAGUCUAAGUUGUUAGUAAACUUUGCAUAGUGAUAGCUGACAUUUAUUCAUCAGCUUCUGUGCCUCAGACUCAUGAUCUAGGUCACCAUAUUACCCCGUUUUCCAGAUGAGGAACUGAGACAUAGAAAACAGUAAAUGGCAGAGCCACGACUCAACACAAGGUGGUCUGAUGCGCCAUCCACUCUCUUGACCACAGAUUAUCUCUUCUACUACUAGUUGCCUUCAAAAAGCAGAUACUUCAGAAGCUGUAGCUUGAUGCUUCUGGGAAUUCUACAUAGCACUGCCACCUCUGUUCUUAUUCACUUUUCAAUAUAUUUAUAGAUGGAAAGAUUUCAAUGAAUGAGAAACAAAGUUGGGAUGUGAGAACCCUUAGGGGCACAGACAUGCAUGUCCACAACCAUUGCAAGCUUCCUGGUUGUAGGAUGAGCCCUGGGCAGGUGAAAAUGUAGGUCUGACCCAGUCUAAUACUUUUACAUUCUUUGAUUUAUAAGUUGAUUAAAGUUUUUGCCAAUUCAGGAGGAAAAAAUCACAAGAGUAGAAUGUUAUUCAAAUUGUUUGGUAUUAGGUGACUUGGUAUGUUAGCGCUACUGAAGCAAAUAUAUAGACAAGACUUUGGCUGAUUGGCAGGAUUUUGACUAGAUUAAUCAGACAUUUGAGCAUUAUGAAAAACAAUCAUUUUUCUUUAACAAUUAUUGCCUUUUAAAUGAAUAAGCUAAUAUGAAAGUGACAAGUGAGACCUCACUAGGGGCUGAGAUAGCUAACAUAAAUAUGUAAGUUAUGGCACAGACAGAAAGAAUGACAAAAAUUUACACAUUUAAAAACAUUUUAUCAAUUAAGAAUUUCCUGUUUAAUAAGUUUUAUAAAACAGUAAAGUAUGUGGAUUAAAGAGACUCGCUUCUGUCUCCCUUACUUCUUGAUGUAUUUUUUUCCUCUUUCUUUCUCCCUCUCUCUUUUUUAUCUCUGUAAUUGCUGGCACUUUAAUGUAGAAAAUAGGCUCAUUCGUCUUGUCUUCUAAUGAGCUUUAUACAGUAUAAGAAAACGUAAAGUCUGGAAAGGGGUGUUAAUGUUGGAUCCUAAGAGCCCCAGCAUUUGUACGUUUGACUCUAUCAUCUUUUAUCAUGUAACAAAAGACAUAAGCCAACAAAGCGUGCUAUCUAUAGAAAAUACUUGUAACUGUUUUGUUAACCCAAGAGUUGACCCCUUUACAUGUAAUUUCAGGCUCAGAAUCAGAUCAAAGGCCCCAGUUUGGGUUAUGUGUGCACUGUGACCUCUUCCAUGGUCUCUGAGUUCCCCGAAGGAGAGGUCUAGGUCUUUCUCAUUGUCAUCUCUUCAUGCCCAGCAAGCUCGGCAGUGUUUGAGGAUGAAUUGCUUGUACUAUGAGGAACUUGGGAGAUUUGGGCAACAUAUUUGCUGGUGAACUGGCACUUCGGCACCUGUGUUGCUAUCUUUUUACAGAGUCAGUGUGGUUUGCUGGAAAGGAUAGUAGGUAGGAAGUCAGGAGCUAGUUCUUUCUUUGCCUAUAUGACCUUAAGAAGUCCUCUUAAUCUCUUCAGGGUAAAGUGUCCUCAUAAAGUGUAAUACUUGGGCUAAAUAGUAUUCUUUAGUCUCUUCCAGCUUUAAAAUUUAUGUUUAAAAUAGAAGAAAAUGUGUCUGUGAUUUUUUGUCUUUUCAUUUUGAAAUAAUUUUGAACCUACAGAAAAGUUGAAAGAAUUGUACAAAACUGCUCCUGUUUACCUUCACUCAAAUUCAUCAGUUGUUAAGAUUUGCUCACAUUCUCUCUCUCCACACUCACACACAAAAUUUUUGUUUUGAAACAUUUACGAGUUGUAGACGUUGUGCCCCUUUACUCCCAAGUACUUCAGAAUGCAUUUCCUAAGUACAAUGAUGUUUUCUUACAUCACCAUGAUGUAUUCAUCAAAUUCAGGAGAGUAAAUACUGAUUCAAUACUAUUAUCUGAUAGCCCAUAUUUAAAUUGUGCCAGUUGUCCCAAUAUUUUCCAUAUCAAUUUUUCCCCUGCUCCAAGACUCGUUCCAAGAUUACACAUUGCAUUUAAUAGUUGUCAUGCCUGUUUAGUGUCCUUUGUCCUGCACAACUUUGAGAUUUUUGAAAAUUACAGGGCAAUUUUUUUGUAGAAAGUCUAUUAAUUUGAGUUUGCCUGAUGUUUCCUCAUAAGAUUCCAGUUAUACCUUUUUAUCAGGAAUAUGACACUAAUUGAGAUCACAUUCUUCUCAGUGCAUCACAUCAAAAGGCACAUAGGUCAUGAUGUUAAAAAAAGUUAAUGUAAAUUUUAUGGGGGAAACAUUUUCCAUUCUCGCUGGAUUUGAGCUCCGUCAACAAGACCAUAAACAAAUGGAAAUUACCCAGGUAUUGGAAUUCUCUAGAUUAAGUAAACUGACUGCCUGUAUAUUUUAGUUUCUAUCUAAAUAAUUUUUAUUUUGUGUUAGAAAGACUUUAAAUAAUAAUUCCUGCACUCAACUCAAGAAACCUUAGUAAAUUUGAAAAGUGUUUGAAAAGUAUGAUGAAGAGAAUUCACAUCCCAUGUGAUAACAUGAUGGAUUUUUUUCUGUAAGAAAGAAAUCCUAAAGGAUCAUCUUGUUAACAUUAUGCCAGGCAGGAUUAUGAAGGCUAAAGAGAAAAAUGGGGUCAAAUAAUAGAACAAUAACAAAAACACAGCUCUCCUGAUCUUUACUUCAAUACUUUUUUCACUACAUUGUUGCUCCCAUGAAUCACUAUCUGGAAGCAAAUCUGGCUUUUUUAAAAAAAAUAAAGAAGGCAGUUAGUCAAUGACUAUAUGCCUUAUGCCUAGUGUUCCAUUAUUGGAACGCUGAGCAUGUGGGAGUUAUUUAUAUCCUACUGCUCAAGGUCAUCACCAAGGUCUGAUUGGAAAAAUUCAAAAAAUUGCAACCUCAGGCAUAAAUUGCUUAACAUGUUUCAUAGCACCCUCAGAAUAGCACCAUGGACCAGUUGCAGUGAUGAUGUCCCAGUAAAAAUAAAAAUAACCACCUUGGAUUCAUUGGGCCACUUUGGGACACUGUAGUGUUACUGCAGAGCAGUAGAUGGCACUGUUAAUAUACAUUGAUUUUAGUAUAAAAUCUGGAAAAGGGAAGUAGUAUUCCAGAGAUUUACUAUGUGGUUGUUCCAACUAAAGUAGUGAUACUUCACUUAUUUGGUGAAAUCCUAUCAAGUCUGUAGUUGUUAUGAUACUUAUUUUCAACUCCCCUAACCUAACUGUGGAGUUAGGUUAUGAUACUUAUUUUCAUCUCCCCUAACUGUGGAGGUUUUGCUUUUUGGCUUCUCCCCGCUCCUCACAUACAAAUAAUGCAACUUACACAUUUGGCUCCAAGAAUUUAGUACUUCAUUUGGUACUAGUAAGUCAUUUAUUAUUUACCUUACAAUUAAUAUUAGAGACCUGGGAGGAUACAGGGUCUAAUAAUUUUAUGUAUUUCUUAGCUAAAGAAAUAUUCUUGGGAACAUUUCAUACUUUUGACCUGUUUGUAUGUUUAUAUAGAAAGUUUUAAUGCACCAAGUUUUUCUGAUAUUUGAUUUAGUUGCUGAAAAUAAGUCGAUGGUUAUUUUACUUUUCAUUUAGAUAAAAGUCAUGAAGAUCUGUUUCAUAUUUCAUGACAUCACUGUUUAUUUGGAAUGAGUGGGCAAGAUAUUUUAUAACUCACGUAUAAGAAACCUAAAAAGAAAUCUGGAAAUAACAACAACUCCAUACUCCUUAAUGAAUUCAGGCCUUGAUUAUUUGCAUUGAAUGCAAACCUUUACUGGCUGAUCACAUCUUUUAAACACCUCACUUAAAUUAUGCAGAUAAAAAUUACAUUCUGCCCCUUUAUUUAAAAAAACCUUGAAGAAAUGAUUAAAACUAUGUUUAACCAAAUGCUUCAGAUGAGAAAAAUCAUAAAUAAUGAAAUGAUAUUUAAAUUUGCUUUUUUAAAAAAUAAAAUCAUUUAGUUUUCCAUCUCAGGGUGAGAGAAGUUACACCUUCUAGAACCAUGACAUCAUAUGAAAUGUUGACAUCUAUUAUCAACCUAAUUAACUAUUUGCUGUUCAAAUUGUGGUGAAAGUACAUUGAGACUUCUUUUGUACUCUUAUCGCUUGUUUAAUACCAAAUUGCCUGGCAUCUGUGUAUCAAGGCUUUGAUCUAAUACUCUAUCAGUUGUUGGCUUAGGCACAAGAGACUGCAGAGUACACAAAGCUGUCACUGCAGACUCCAGGGAAAAAGAGGCUGUUGAUAUACAGUCCUGAUUAGCCAAGUCAGUCAAUAUUUGCAUGACGCAAUGAUAAUGCCUUCUUUAUGUUAGAUUGUUAUUUCACUGAAGCAAGUAGGAAACUUCCUUUUCAAGAGCUCAAUAUAUUUUUCAGAAAUUCUUUUUCCCUCUCAGGUACAUAUAUGGCAUUUUCUUUCAUCUCUCUCCAUUUCCUCUCCUGCCUUCAAUGUUUGAUCACACACAAAUGCAACAUAAUGACACAUUCUUGAGAAGUCUAUAGUUUUUAGGAUUUAUAUGUGAAGGAAUUUUGUUAAAGUUAUUAUCUUACCUAUAAUAUAUCAAAAUAUCAGAAUCAGAACUACCUCUUUCAUUUUUGUGUACUUUAAAUAUAAAAGUUGGUUGUUUUAUUCCUAUUUUCUAUUCUCUAACCUUCAGUUACUUGAUUUGUAAACUCCACACACUGAUGUCUUGAUUCUACUUUCUAGCAUAGACUUUAGGCUAGCACAUCUUUUAAUAUUACUCAAAUGUUAGGAGACAUGAAUCUUACAAUAUUCAUAUUUCAAUGGAGGCAAUAGAAAGCUACAUUGAGCUCACAUCAAAAGUUGAACAUUUCUCCAUUCACUUUAUUUCAUAUUAUUUUAGAAGUGUUGGCCUUUGCAAUGGGGAUUUGAUAUUUAUAAGAUUCUGUUUAUACUUAGCAAAAUUUCUAAUCACAUUCUAUUAUUUGAGAUGCUCUUUCUCUCUCCAACCCUCUUUCCACUCUUAUCUUUUAAUAUAUGAAAGGAAAUUGAUGGUGAUAAACAACCAGACUGGUAUCUCCUUUAAAGUCAUUCAGUCAUCAUUUAUGAGCCAAGGAUUGCGUUAUUUGCUGGAGGUGACAAAAACAGCAAGACACUGUCUCUGCACUCUGAGAGAGAAAAAAACCAUAAAAGUUGGCAGGAGCCAGAUCACAGAGGGCCUUACAAAGAAGUUUGGGUCUUAUCUUAAAAUAGUAUGGUGUUACAGCAUUUUAAAAUAAGAGGACUAUGAUUGGAUUUAUGAUUUGGAAAGGCAAGGCUGCAGGAUAAAGGACAGGGCAGAAGGGUGAGACUAGAAGUAGGAAGAAUAUAAUUAGGAGACUGUAUCAACAAUUAGACAAAGCUAAAUGUUCUUCACCUUUUGGGGCCUUAGAUCCCUUUUUAGAAUCACAUAUGUAUAUACACACACAUAAUUCACACAUACUAUCAGAUGGUUCACAGAUCUCUUAAAGUGUGUGAAUUCCAGGUAAGAACUCUUUGAAUAAAUGAUAAGGGCAUUAAUCAAUGCACUAGCAGUGGAGAUAGGGAAUAUCACAGAUACGAGAGGUAUAACAAAGAAUCUAUAGUAUAUAUUGGCAGAUUGAAUAUGAGAGGUGAGAGAUGGCAGAGUCUCAGAUGGCUUCCAAGAUUCUAGUUAUCUAUGGUGACUGGGUAGAUGGUAGUGCUUUCAUCAAGGCAAAGAAUAGAAAGAAACAUGUUGACAUUGUUGGAAAGCCUGUGGAAUAUUCUGGUGGAGGCAUAGGUCUCUAGAGUUCAGUAGAGGUGUCUGGGCUGAAAGUAUUGAUUUAGAAUCUUGAGCCUGUAAACAGCCAUAGGUUGAGUUCACCUAAUGAGAUAAUGUAGAGUAAGAAAGAGAAGGGCAGGCCAUAAUCCUUGGGGAACACCAGCUUCGAAGGCUCCGUCAAAGAAAGAGGAGUGAACGAAGUAGACAGAGUUAUAAAGAAAAACAAGAGUGAAGAGCCUUAGACUCCAAAAGAAGAAAUAAUAUCCAAGAAGGCAUGGGCCACAACAUCAAGUAUUUCAAGGACAAAUACCUCUAGUAUUUCUUUGCAUGUGACAAUUAGGUAGUUAUUGAUGAUUCCCACCAGAAGAGUUUCAAUAGAAUUGGGCUGAGAUGAAGGUGAUAAGCCACACUGCUGAAAGUUAAAGAGUGAGUGGGAGAUGAGAAAGUGGCUAUGGAAUAUUCAAGGACAUUGUGAUGGUAAGAUGAGUGAUUGAACUAAAAUAGAUAUAUACACAUAUAUAUCCGUAUUAUAUGUAUAUAUGUGUAUGUGUGUAUAUAUGUAUAUACUCUCUAUCGAUAGAUAUCUAUCUAGAUAUCUAUUGAUAGAUAUCUAUAUAGAUCUAUCUAGAUAUCUAUAUAUAUAUAGAGACAGAGUGUGUGAGUGUGUUGCUGGGUCAAAAUACAUGUACAUUUUUAAUGUGGAUAGAUAUAUAUGAUUGCCUCCCCCUAAAAGGUUACAUUCAUUCAUUGCUAUAAUUCUUUACAGGAGUAUCCUGUUUCCUACCCCAUGGAUAGAUAUACACUAUUGCCUCCCCCUAAAAGAUUAUAUCCAUUCACUUCUAUAAUUCUGUAUAGGAGUAUCCGAUUUUCUACCCCAACAGCUAUAUAUUAACAUGCCUUCCAGCUUUUUCUUGUCUGAUGGCAAAAACUCUUUAAUUUGCUUUCUGAUUAUUCACAAGGUUGCACAUCUUCUUAUAUGUAAUUUUUAGCUAUUCAUAUUUCUUUAUCUGUGUCUUACUUGUUUAUAAUCUUCAUCCAUUUUCCUAUUGAGUUUGCUAUUUCAUUGAUUUGGAAGAACUCUUUACAAAUAUUUUUCACCUGAAGAUGUUAAAAGCAUUUUCUUCCAGGCUGUGUUGUGUGUUUUAACUUUAUUUAUGGUGUCUUUAUCACAACCAUAUAUGUCAAUCUUUACCUUUAUAAAAAUGUAAAAUAUUUUCAUUUUAUUCCAGUGUUUAAUAGAUUACAUAUGGCUUUGUUUCAUCUGAAAUUUGUGUGAGACAUAAUACAGAGCACAAACUUUAUUCUUGUGAAAUAGUUACUUGAUUUUGCCAAUACCAUGCAUUAAAUAUCCACUCUUCCUGGUGGUUUGAAAUACCGCUUUUAUUAUAUACCAAAUUCUAUAUAUACAGGGGUCUGUUUUCAGAUUUUAUGUUUGUUCCAUUAGUAUGUUUGCCUAUUCCUGCACUAUGUUUACACUGCUUUUAAAAAUAGAGCUUCAUAUGAUGUUUGAUAUCUGGUAGGAUAAAUACUCUUUUUCCUUCUCUCCUGCUCCUGGUCUGGGCUGUGUUUCCCUCUGGUUUUGUUCUUGUCAAUACACUCCCCUUUGAUUUUCUAUCUUCUAGGAUUCCUUAGAAUCUCUUGUCUGCUGAUGAAAUUUUUAUUUUCUAAUAUGCUCAUUAAAUUUAUUAUUUUAAAAUAUCUGUCUUUUCUUGGGUUGGAGCCAGGAGUAGAUGCAUGUGUUUUGUCUGCCAUCUCGAUACACUUCCUCAGAGGGAUGCUUAUAAAAUAAUCUACAUGUGGCCAGUUGGUUGUCACCUUACAAAGCAAACAACAUACAGCUGUGUAAGGAUUGUUAAGUAACCAUUCUGUAUUCUGGAAAUCUUUUAAUGAUCAACAACAGUUUGAUGUAUAAUAUAUUUUAUAGGCCUCAUUGUAAAGAAAUGAAUGUUGAUACCCUAAAGUGCUGAUUCAAUCUCUCUCAAAGUGUUUUCCCUUCAAAUUAGUGUUUGUCUGCUUAUAUUCUGUGCUUGUCUUACCUUGGGGAUGAUUUCUUAAAACAAAUUAUGAGGCACAUUCUGGCAAUAAGAAAUUUCCUAAAUGUGAUGUUUAACAUUGGUGCCUAGAAAUCAUAAGUUCAAUUGACUGUAUUUUGUUAUUUUUUUUCUUUUGAAUGGGGAAAGGGUAGAAGAAUCUGUUUUCUUCACAGAUGAAAUUUUCCAUUAAAGGAAGCUAUUAUAUUUCCAUAUCAGUACACUUAUUUUAUACUCAACCUCUCUAGGGAUGACAGCCUGUUCAGCAGGAAAGCCCUAAAGGUCAUCCAAUGACUAGAUUGAUACAUUUCACGGAAAAAUUGAGACUAACUUUCUUACUGUGAAAUAUAGAAACCUGAGUCAUCAUUACCAUAAACUCAUAGCAGAUCUAUAGUUACCUUUGAAAUAAAAGGGGAUUACAGGACAUUCUUGUUUUGAUGGUGGGCUCCAGUUUCUCAUCCUCAAAAAUUUGGUUCUCAUAUUAAAAUACUAUUAAUACAAAAAUUAUGCCAUAUGAAGUGAGUAUCCAAAGAUUUCUAAAUAAAACAUGUACUGAAAUUAGUAAAAAUUUCUCAUAGUGUUAUAUGGGAUUAACGGCGAUUUCACAAAUGGGAAUACCUUUUUAAUUCUUUCUACUUAUUUACCUAUUUAUUUGGAAGUACAGUAUUACAAACUAGGGAGCGGCUAAGACUGGCUAAGCAAUCAUGCUGGAAAUUAUUGCAUAGCUCAGCAAAAUAUCCUAAAAAUAAAAAUAUGCCUUACUUUUAUGUCCAGGAACUUUUUAUUAUUUCUGACUUAGAAAAUGUUAUUUCUAAAUUUUUAAUGCUAGUUAUACUUCUUUCUUUUGGUCACCAUAAGGCUUUCUAGCACUUUCCUCAAAGGAAGGGAAAUUAAAUAAAUGGGUAUAACUCAGUCCACUUUGGUGACAGCUUGUUUGUGAGCUCGAGUUUGGAGACAGAAUAAAUUGGACUAUUUGCUAAAAUGGGGUUUUAGGAUUAUUCAAGAGGAAACAAUUUCAUGUAUGGCUUUUCACUCUGGUUAGUCUUUGAUUGUAGAUCCUACAUUUAUUACUGUGUAGUCAGUAUGCUUACAACUGGGCAUCCCAAUGGCUAGGAGAUAAUGUGAGUCUCUGGACAAACACUCCUGCUGAGCCAGAAAUGCUGUCAGAAUUUCCUCAAAGAAUGAUCUCAGUGUUUGUCUUUAUUCUGAUUUCAAUCACACGGUGAUUUGUCAGGGCUUUAUAAAUGCAAUUUAAUCCUGUUCAAUUUCCAAGGAGGGGUGAACAUGCAACAAAAUGAAUUAACUAGGCCAAUCAUAAUCAAACACUGCAGAAAGCCAGGCAGAACCCACCAUAUGCCAAGGGUGUAUAGAUCUCAUCCUGCCUGGGAAAACUUGACACUCCGCCUGGUGCAGGGAUUGGGAGGGUAACUGAGGGAGGUAAGGAGGUAGGAUAUCCCUUAGGGAAGGAGCAUCACUCCUCUCAGGAGAUCUGUUCCUAUGACUUUCAACAAAGCACCACCGAAUUGUCAUUGUAUUUUGUGAGUAGCUAAAUUCUUCUGGGAAUUAAGGAAAAAAUUUGAAGUUGCCAUGAAGGUAGCCUCUUCCCAAUUACACCUUAGCUAAAGGUAGCACUCUGAUUCUCUGAGGAUAAUUGGUCCAUCUAAUAAAAUCACAUUGAAUCUGGAGCAAUCCUGAGUGUUUUCUAAGCUCAAGCUAAGAAAUGCUGCUUUCAAGGGGCAGCAGUACAGCAUUAAGAACAUGGUAUGGCCCUGCGGGCUGGUUUUACUACUGAUUACUUAUGUGACCUUGGGUGAGUGACUUAACUUCAAUGAGCUUUUGUUUUUUUUUUUUUUCAUUUGUAAAAUGCAGAUAAUACCCUCAUGGUGUUGAUGUUGAAAUUAAGGGAGACAAUGAAAGUAAAGUGCUUAGUACACUGCAUGGCAUGUGGUAAAUGCUCCAUAAACAUUCAUGUUAUUGUUUUCAGUAUAAGCAGUCAAAAAUACCAAAAUUUUUCUUCAUGCAACAAAUAUUUAUUGUGCGUUUACUAUAUGCCAAACUUGCCAAAUACUGGAGAAUAUUUGAAAAAUACCUUAUUCAGUGACCAAAGUAAGAAUCUGCAUCUCUGUUGUUGGCUGUAGAUGGCAAUUUCUGCUUCCUGGCCUUACUUCUUUAAAGAAAAAAAUUUCCCAUGCAUUAGUCACUUAGAUCAACCCAUUGCCACAUUUUUUUAGUGUUGAAAGCUAAUAUAUUUUAGUAAUGCUUCAAUGAACUGUGGUAGCAACAAAUAAAGAAAUUGACUUCUGUCCCAAAAUAUGGGGAGUAGAGUUGUAAUCAGGAUUACAAAAAAAAAGGGGCCAGUAUUACAAGCUGCUAAAAUGCUUUUGCGUGGAUUAUUGUUUUAUUUGGACCCCCUCCACCCUUUAAAUCUGAUACAUGCUAAGAUUUUCAUGGGCACAGCCACCUCCUAAUAUGUGGUUUUGCUUCUCUGCAAGCAUGGAAUCCCCUCUGCAGUUAUGUUUGCCUGUGCAUCUCCGGCAGCUGGAGGACGAAUCACAUCAGGCUGAUGAGUGUGUCACGCUCUUCAUCCCCCAAGAGCUGUGAUGAAGACCAAGACAAACAGUAGAUUAACAGUGCUACCUUUUAUAAGGCUGAUUAGUUCCUAAAAUAUGCUGAAAGGAAACAAAACCAAAAAGAAAAAAGAGUGGAAAGGGGGGUGAGACAGAAACCUUUGUCGAGUCUCAUUCCAUCACCCAGGCUGGAGUGCAGCGGCGUGAUCUUGGCAACCUCCACCUCCCAGGCUCAAGAAAUCCUCCCACCUCAGCCUCCCAAUAGCUGGAUCUACAGGCGUACACCACCACAAUCAGCUGUAUUUUUUGUAGAGACUGGGUUUCGCCAUGUUGCCCAGGGUGGUCAUGAACUUGUGAGCUCAAGUGAUCUGCCCGCCUCAGCCUCCCAAAGUGCUGGGAUUACAGGCAUGAGCCACCGCCCCUGGCCUAAUAAAAUUUAUUUUUAAAAAAGGACCUAUGGCGAAUCAUUUUUACAAAUAAAAUCUAUAGUCAAGGUGCAGUAUGGGAACAGCAUUUUACUGAGUAAUCUUGCAAAGAAUAUGUCAUUAACCACUACACUAAUCUUGUUCUUGAUGUACACCAGCAACAAAUACAAAGAAAAAUUUAGUCUCUUACUUUAACAGGUUCCAAGUAUGCCACAUCGUAUUUUUUGCCAAAUAAUUUAUUAGUAAGAGGAGAUGACUCUAGUAAGUUAUAGAAGUUAUAUUGAAUUUUUAAAAAAAAUUUUUCAAAACUAUUCUGUGGGGAUUGAGGACAGAUGAACUACAAAGGAACAUGAUGGAACUUUCUGGGGUGAGCAUAAUGUUCUAUAUGAUGAUAGGGGCUUGGGUUACAUAAGUGAGCAUUUAUGAAAACUGUACACUUUUUGUGCAUUUCAUUGUGUAUAAAGUUUACUUCAAAAAAAACAUUGAACUCCAAUUAAUUACAUGCAUGCUGAACUAUUUAGAGUGAAGUAUACUGAUGCCUGUUGUUUACUUUGAAGUAUUUCAAAACAGUAAAAUGGAUAGAGGAAUGUGUAAUAAAUUGGUACACGAUAAGGAAAAUAUAGUCAAUUAUGUUAAUAGUAAAAUCUAGAUGGUGAGUAAACUGGUG
rnacentral:lncRNA from 1 species